GGGGCUUUCUGAGAUCCAGAGUCACGUGCUCGAGCUGCAAAGUGGCUUCCGAUUCCUACGAGGCCUUUCUGGAUAUUCCUUUGGAUAUCAAGGCGGUCUCAUCUGUCACCGCAGCGCUGACGGACUUCGUGAAACCG